rnacentral:rRNA from 1 species
GGGUGCUCGAGUGGCGAACGGGUGAGUAACACGUGAGUAACCUGCCCUUGACUUUGGGAUAACUUCAGGAAACUGGGGCUAAUACCGGAUAGGAGCUCCUGCCGCAUGGUGGGGGUUGGAAAGUUUCGGCGGUUGGGGAUGGACUCGCGGCUUAUCAGCUUGUUGGUGGGGUAGUGGCUUACCAAGGCUUUGACGGGUAGCCGGCCUGAGAGGGUGACCGGCCACAUUGGGACUGAGAUACGGCCCAG